rnacentral:rRNA from 1 species
AGUGAACGCUGGCGGUAGGCCUAACACAUGCAAGUCGAACGGCAGCACAGUAAGAGCUUGCUCUUACGGGUGGCGAGUGGCGGACGGGUGAGGAAUACAUCGGAAUCUACUUUUUCGUGGGGGAUAACGUAGGGAAACUUACGCUAAUACCGCAUACGACCUACGGGUGAAAGCAGGGGAUCUUCGGACCUUGCGCGAUUGAAUGAGCCGAUGUCGGAUUAGCUAGUUGGCGGGGUAAAGGCCCACCAAGGCGACGAUCCGUAGCUGGUCUGAGAGGAUGAACAGGCACAGUGGAACUGGGAGAAGGUCCAGACUACUACGGGAGGCAGCAGUGGGGAAUAUAGGACAAUGGGCGGAAGCCUGAUCCUGACAGACCGAAUGAAAGAGGAAGGCCUUAGGGUUGUGAAGCCCUUUUGUUGGGAAAAAAAAACAGGAGGUUAAAGGGCGGAUGUUAUGACGGUACCCAAGGAAUAAGCACUGGCGAACUUCGUG